UACAGAGGUCCCAAGCGUUGUUCGGAUUUAUUGGGCGUAAAGGGUGCGUAGGUGGUGUAGUAAGUUAGAUGUGAAAUGCCCAAGCUCAACUUUGGCACAGCAUAUAAUACUGCUACGCUUGAGCUCUAGGGAAGAGAUUGGAAUUUACGGUGUAGCAGUGAAAUGCGUAGAUAUCGUAAAGAACAUCAGAGGCGAAAGCGAAUCUCUAAAUAGUUGCUGACACUGAGGCACGAAAGCCAGGGGAGCAAACGGG
rnacentral:rRNA from 1 species